rnacentral:rRNA from 1 species
AUGGCGGACCUCGUCCCGCUGAAUAAUAAUCCGUACAACGGCGGCGGCGAUGACGAGGCGGUCGCGGUGGAGCCCGAGGAGCGGAGCAGGCUUAUGCUCAUCUGCGCGGUGGGUCUCUACUACGUCGCCAUCCGCGGCUUCUCCCAGCUGUUGCUCGCCGGCGGUUUCCGCCGGCAUGUCAUCACGUCUGGUGACCUCACGCUGUGGGCCGCGCUGCUGGACCUCGCCGGCAGCCUGGUGUACCUCGCCGCGAGCCUGCUAGCGCUUGUGUCUCUCGUCCCCGCGCUCUGGCUCGUCCUUGUCUGGGCGGCUCUCGUGGCGGAGUGGCUCCACGGCAACCCGGAGGGGCGCAGGCUGGCGGAUGACCUGCUCCAGUCCGACCGCUGGCUGUUCCACGAGCCCUUCUAUCGAGUCCUGUGCCGUCUUUUCCCAUACUAG